rnacentral:rRNA from 1 species
GACUAACGUUGGCGGCGUGCCUAAUACAUGCAAGUCGUGCGAUCUGGCAGCAAUGCCAGGGAGCGGCGAACGGGUGAGUAACACGUGGAUGAUCUACCUCCAAGACUGAGAUAACCCAUCGAAAGGUGGGCUAAUAUUGGAUGUGACUACGUUCCGUAUUCGGGACGCAGUAAAAGGUGGGACGCAAGGCCUGCCACUUGGAGAUGAGUCUGCGGCUGAUUAGCUAGUUGGCGGGGUAAUGGCCCACCAAGGCAACGAUCAGUAGCCGGCCUGAGAGGGUGUACGGCCACACUGGAACUGAGACACGGUCCAGACUCCUACGGGAGGCAGCAGUAGGGAAUUUUCCGUCAAUGGGCGCAAAGCCUGACGGAGCAACGCCGCGUGA